rnacentral:lncRNA from 1 species
UGCCGUAUUAAGGUAGAAGAAUUUGUGUGCUUAGUAAAUGAGAAAUAUAAAAAUGAACACACUACUAAUAAUAGAGCAAAAUUAAACAUAAAUUUUCAUUCAAUCUUAUUUAAUGAGUACAUUUAUUGAAUUCACCUUCAUCCGUAGAUGAAUAUAUUAUUAUUAGAAAUUGUGAGAAAGAGCAACAUAUUAGAUAUUUAUAUUGGUGGUUUGCAGCACCAUCCGAUAUAUUUGUUGCAACAUGGACUAUGUAGGUUAUAACCAUUACCAGCGGGAUCAUGCUCAUUGCUUUCUACCAUUGUCACCAAAGUACUUGCAAUAGCAAAGAGCAAUAUCACUAACUUCAAAACCAUCUUCAAAGAACUUUCCAUUAUAAUUUUUAUAAAGUUUUAAAAAAAUAAUACAAAUGAUUAACUUGCAUU